GCCGGGUGCAGUGGCAUGUGCCUGUAAUCCAAGUCACUGGGAGGCUGAGGUUGGUGGAUCAAGUGAGCUGAGGAGCUCUGGGCUGCAGCACGCUAUGUCGAACGGGUGUCCACGCUAAGUUCGGUAUCGAUAUGGUGUUCCUGGGGGAGCCUGGGACCACCAGGUUGUCUAAGGAGGGGUGAACCGGCCCAGGUCGGAAACGAAGCAGGUCAAAUCCCCCGUGCUGUCCAGUAGUGGGAUAAUACCUGUGAGUAGAUGCUGCAGUGCAGCCUUGGCAAANNNNNNNNNNNN
rnacentral:SRP_RNA from 13 species